rnacentral:rRNA from 1 species
GACGAACGCUGGCGGCGUGCCUAAUACAUGCAAGUAGGACGCAGUUGCGAACGGGUGAGUAACGCGUAGGUAACUACCUAUUAAAGGGGGAUAACUGUUGGAAACGAUAGCUACUACCGCAUACUAGUAGAUGGACCUGCGUUGUAUUAGCUAGUGGGUAGGGUAAAGGCCUACCUAGGCAACGAUACAUAGCCGACCUGAGACGGGGAGCGGCCACACUGGGACUGAGACACGGCCCAGACGCCUACGGGAGGCAGCAGUAGAGAAUCGUCGGCAAUGGGGGGAACCCUGACCGAGCAACGCCGCGUGAGUGAAGAAGGUUUUCGGAUCGUAAAGCUCUGUUGUUAAGGAAGCGGUACUUAACCAGAAAGGGACGGCUAACUACGUGCCAGCAGCCGCGGUAAUUC